GACGAAGGGGGCUAGCGUUGUUCGGAAUUACUGGGCGUAAAGCGCGUGUAGGCGGUUGCCCAAGUCGGGUGGGAAAGCCUUGAGCUCAACUCAAGAAAUGCACUCGGUACUGGGUGACUAGAGGACCGGAGAGGAUAGUGGAAUUCCCAGUGUAGUGGUGAAAUACGUAGAGAUUGGGAAGAACACCAGUGGCGAAGGCGGCUAUCCGGACGGUUUCUGACGCUAAGACGCGAAAGCGUGGGGAGCAAACAGG
rnacentral:rRNA from 1 species